UAGGUAGGGUAACAGCCUACCUAGGCAACGAUCAGUAGCCGACCUGAGAGGGUGAUCGGCCACAUUGGGACUGAGACACGGCCCAAACUCCUACGGGAGGCAGCAGUGGGGAAUAUUGCACAAUGGAGGGAACUCUGAUGCAGCGACGCCGCGUGAAGGAAGAAGGUUUUCGGAUCGUAAACUUCUAUCAGCAGGGAAGAAAAUGACGGUACCUGACUAAGAAGCCCCGGCUAACUACGUGCCAGCAGCCGCGGUAAUACGUAGGGGGCAAGCGUUAUCCGGAAUUACUGGGUGUAAAGGGUGCGUAGGCGGUAAUGUAAGUCAGGUGUGAAAGCCCGAAGCUCAACUUCGGGAUUGCACUUGAAACUACAUAACUAGAGUACAGGAGAGGUGAGUGGAAUUCCUAGUGUAGCGGUGAAAUGCGUAGAUAUUAGGAGGAACACCAGUGGCGAAGGCGACUCACUGGACUGUAACUGACGCUGAGGCACGAAAGCGUGGGUAGCGAACAGGAUUAGAUACCCUGGUAGUCCACGCCGUAAACGAUGAAUGCUAGGUGUCGGCUCUUAAAGGGUCGGU
rnacentral:rRNA from 1 species